AGAGAAAAGAGCAUGCUAUCUAAUCUUGAAAAGCGUGUGCAGAUAAGAUAGCUGCUACAGAGGAGUCGCUGAAAAAGAAGAAGCAGGUUUGAGAUGAAGCUGAAAAAUACAUAUGAUCAGCUACAUUUCAGCAGGUUUGCAUACUUACUGCCAUCAAUCCCUUUUUUUUUUUUUUAAAUGCCAGAUGGAUGUUUAAGUAUUUAUAUGUGUACAUAUAUGUACAUAUAAGGUUGGAUCUUUCAAGCUAGAUAGUUGUAAUCUUCCCGGCUUUUUGUUGUAGUUUAAGCUGCAUCUGUUUCUGCUAAAUAGUUCUUU